rnacentral:rRNA from 1 species
CGCUAGCGGCAGGCCUAACACAUGCAAGUCGAGGGGUAACAGGAAAGCUUGCUUUCGCUGACGACCGGCGCACGGGUGCGUAACGCGUAUGCAACCUACCUCAUACUGGAGGAUAGCCCUUGGAAACGAGGAUUAAUACUCCAUAGUAUCACGAAUUCGCAUGUUUUUGUGAUUAAAGUUUUUCGGUAUGAGAUGGGCAUGCGUCCCAUUAGCUAGUUGGUGAGGUAACGGCUCACCAAGGCGACGAUGGGUAGGGGGCCUGAGAGGGUGGUCCCCCACACUGGUACUGAGACACGGACCAGACUCCUACGGGAGGCAGCAGUGAGGAAUAUUGGUCAAUGGAGGCAACUCUGAACCAGCCAUGCCGCGUGAAGGAUGACGGCCCUAUGGGUUGUAAACUUCUUUUAUAUGGGAAGAAACUUAUCUACGUGUAGAUAACUGACGGUACCAUACGAAUAAGGAUCGGCUAACUCCGUGCCAGCAGCCGCGGUAAUACGGAGGAUCCAAGCGUUAUCCGGAUUCAUUGGGUUUAAAGGGUCCGUAGGCGGGUCUUUAAGUCAGUGGUGAAAGCCGACAGCUCAACUGUCGAACUGCCAUUGAUACUGGAGACCUUGAGUACAAAUGAAGUAGGCGGAAUGAGUCAUGUAGCGGUGAAAUGCAUAGAUAUGACUCAGAACACCGAUUGCGAAGGCAGCUUACUAACAUGUAACUGACGCUGAGGGACGAAAGCGUGGGGAGCGAACAGGAUUAGAUACCCUGGUAGUCCACGCCGUAAACGAUCAUCACUCGCUGUUGGCGAUAUACUGUCAGCGGCCAAGCGAAAGUAUUAAGUGAUGCACCUGGGGAGUA